GAUGAACGCUGGCGGCGUGCCUAAUACAUGCAAGUCGAGCGAACGGACGAGAAGCUUGCUUCUCUGAUGUUAGCGGCGGACGGGUGAGUAACACGUGGAUAACCUACCUAUAAGACUGGGAUAACUUCGGGAAACCGGAGCUAAUACCGGAUGAUAUUUUGAACCGCAUGGUUCAAAAGUGAAAGACGGUCUUGCUGCCACUUAUAGAUGGAUCCGCGCUGCAUUAGCUAGUUGGUAAGGUAACGGCUUACCAAGGCAACGAUGCAUAGCCGACCUGAGAGGGUGAUCGGCCACACUGGAACUGAGACACGGUCCAGACUCCUACGGGAGGCAGCAGUAGGGAAUCUUCCGCAAUGGGCGAAAGCCUGACGGAGCAACGCCGCAUGAGUGAUGAAGGUCUUCGGAUCGUAAAACUCUGUUAUUAGGGAAGAACAUAUGUGUAAGUAACUGUGCACAUCUUGACGGUACCUAAUCAGAAAGCCACGGCUAACUACGUG
rnacentral:rRNA from 1 species